AGACGUCUACAUUAGAUACCCCUGUAGUCCCAGCCGUAAACUAUGCGCGUUAGGUGUAUCGGUGACCACGAGUUACCGAGGUGCCGAAGGGAAACCGUGAAACGUGCCGCCUGGGAAGUACGGUCGCAAGGCUGAAACUUAAAGGAAUUGGCGGGGAGCACCACAACAGGUGGAGCCUGCGGUUUAAUUGGACUCAACGCCGGGAAGCUCACCGGAUAAGACAGCGGAAUGAUUGCCGGGCUGAAGACUCUGCAUGACUAGCUG
rnacentral:rRNA from 1 species